UCUAUUUUGGUACUUCUUUGGUACUACUUCCCACCUCCCUCCCAACCGCGGAAAACCAAAAAAAACCCUAAGAUGGAGUCCCGCACCCGCACAACCUCCCGUCGUAAUUAACUGAGACGAUCGAAAAUAAACCACCGAGCACAAACCGGCGAAAAUUAACCAGCGAAAAAAAAACCAAAACAAUCGCACGCACGUACGAGCAAGGCCGCCUGCCCUCGAGCGAGAACCACUCGCACGCACGACUCGCUCAGCAAAUCGUGCGCCGCCGCCCUCCAUCCUUCGCCACCGCCGCUCCAUCCCUUCGCCGCCGCCGCUCCAUCCCUUCGCCGCCGACCUCGCACAUCAAAGCCGCCGCCGCUCCAUCCCUUCGCCGCCGCCCUCGCACAUCGAAGCCGCCGCCCACGAUCCACUUCAGGAGCGCCGUCGAUCCCGUUGAGGACCUGCUGCCCAUCAUGUCGAGGAUCCGAAGACGAUCCCCUUCAGGAGCCUUGCCGAUCCUUCUCCACACGCCACCGCCUCCCUUGCGAAGACGCCUUGCCAUGGAUAUCAAUCGGCGCCACGACGGCCGUGGCCUCACCACCCGCCGACGUUCCAGAUCCGGCCAUCGUUGACCCCCUCCACAUCAGUGAUUGGUCAAGGUAGGGGUGUGUGGCUCUAUCCAUCUUCCCGCGUGUACGACGUCCGUGUAUCCCGGGCAAGGGUGCUUGUGAGAUCGGGAGGCGAUCAAAAGGAGGAAGAGGAGAUCCAUGGUUGGGGAUACAUUCAACGACCUAGGCAUCAUCCUCCCUGACGUCGUACUCGAAGCCCGCAGCCAUUGCCUUCUCAAUCUACGUUAGUCAGCAGCAGCAAGGUCAGACCCCACUAUAUUUUCUUCAGAUCUUGCAUCGCCAUGGUGACUCCACAAAAUUUGUACAUCCAUUGCCGACGUUGGUAUUUAUUCAGCAGAGAAUUAACAACAGUAGACCAAAGCAAAGGGGGGUCAGCCUGAAUGGGACGUAUCCCCUCCAGAAGACUCGCCCUAGCUAACCUGCCUGGUACCUUUCAUUAGCACUUCUCCCAGUAAGUUUGCAAAUUUUGGAUCCACCACUUUUGAAUCAUGCUUGGUGUGUGCUGACGGUGCACGAGGAACGUGACGGUUUUUCUCCGAAUCAUGCCAUAGUUCUCUCAAUAUUGUACGUGUUGUUCUCUCAGCAUUGUACGUCUUGUUCUCUGCAUGAUGUGUGGUCGAUGGGCGGAGGCGACGACUGGCGGCUGUUCUAUUUACACCUGACAUGGUUGAGAGGCUAGGGAGCAGGCGAUUUUGCACUCGUAUUUGGUCGGCAAUGGAGAUGAAUUUGGGUUAGGGUAGCGUACACGAACAGCAAAAUUGUAGAAGACGAGGAGGACAAUCUGAGUGACCAACAUUAUGUGGAGUAUUGAGAUGCAGAUCCAUCUUCACCGACAGCACGCGCUUGUCUGUGACCUCCCACCAGCAACGCCUUGAGGUCACCCACACAAGCGACCAAGCAAUUCCACACCGUCACCCUCUGCUACUUCGCCAACGACAUCGAGGAGGUCGUGGGUGAGAGCUACUGUCCUCCCUGGAGAACAUGCUCGUGCCCCAUGCGUAUGAAGAAGAGCUAAGACACUCGCAUGGGUGCUCAAGGAAAUACACCAGAUUGAGCGAGAGUGUUACGCAAUUUAUCAACAAGAGCAAAGACUCUAAUCUGAUGAUGUAGGACAGCUUUAAUGUGACAGAGGAUCAUGGUGGUCGAUGGAUUGUGCACCCGGUAGUAGACUAGGAAAGGAACAUUAUUUACGGAACACAAUGAUAUUCAGAGCAGCCCUGCACUAUGUGAGAUUUAGAAGUUGGUACUGCCGGCGGAUGCAUCCAUGUGCUAAUCUCCUGGCACCGCGUAGACGGAGCCAAACGAGUUGGGGCCUCCAGCCGGCUGGUAGUGGACAACAACACCGGGUUUGUUAAUUAAUCAACAAGUCACAGAUUGUCCUCUUUUCUGAUUGGUCUGGUGUGGAUUAUCAGGCCUGCCGCGCAAUCAUAGAUUUAUCUUUUGAUUUUUGUGGGUGGACAGAAACACCCUUUCUAAAGUUUUCUAGGGAUUGUAAUGAAGCACAGUAACACACUCCAGCAUUCAUUCUUUGCUUGAUAUUAGCAAACAAUGUAAAAUAACCAAGCUCACAACAUUCUAAAGCGGUCUAUUAGCUACUUCAGCAGACAACAGACAGAAAGAAGUAAGCAGUAUUUGAUUUGCUCAUACCCGUGG